ACGGAAGGCAGCAGUGGGGAAUAUUGGGCAAUGGGCGCAAGCCUGACCCAGCAACGCCGCGUGAAGGAAGAAGGUCUUCGGAUUGUAAACUUUUGUCCUAUGGGACGAUAAUGACGGUACCAUGGGAGGAAGCCACGACUAACUACGUGCCAGCAGUCGCGGUAAUACGUAGGUGGCAAGCGUUAUCCGGAAUUACUGGGUGUAAAGGGUGCGUAGGCGGGAUGUAAAGUCAGAUGUGAAAUUCCAUGGCUUAACUGUGGACCUGCAUUUGAAACUUACGUUCUUGAGUGAAGUAGAGGCAAGCGGAAUUCCUAGUGUAGCGGUGAAAUGCGUAGAUAUUAGGAGGAACACCAGUGGCGAAGGCGGCUUGCUGGGCUUUUACUGACGCUGAGGCACGAAAGUGCGGGGAGCAAACAGGAUUAGAUACCCUGGUA
rnacentral:rRNA from 1 species